GACGAACGCUGGCGGCGUGCCUAACACAUGCAAGUCAACUUGACUGAAGGAGCAAUCUGACAGUAGAGUGGCGCAAAGGGUGCGUAACGCGUAAGUAACUUGCCCAAGGUAAGGAAUAACGUCGAGAAAUCGGCGCUAAUACCUCAUAAUGCAGCGGAUCCGCAUGGAUAUGUUGUUAAAGGUUUACCGCCUUGGGAUAGGCUUGCGUCUGAUUAGUUAGUUGGUGUGGUAACCAGCACACCAAGGCUACGAUCAGUAACUGGUCUGAGAGGAUGAUCAGUCACACUGGAACUGAGACACGGUCCAGACUCCUACGGGAGGCAGCAGUGAGGAAUAUUGGGCAAUGCUCGAAAGAGUGACCCAGCAACGCCGCGUGGAGGAUGAAGGUAUUCUAUAUCGUAAACUCCUGUGAGAGCAGACGAAAGACAGAUUAUUAAUACUGGAUAGACUGUAUGCUCAGAGGAAG
rnacentral:rRNA from 1 species